rnacentral:lncRNA from 13 species
CACUGGAAAACAUUCCUCUUCCUUAAUGUUCCUUCUGCCAGGGAUGUGGGGUGACUUGUGGCACCCAAGAGGAUUUGAAAGGUCCCCACCUCUUUCUGCACUUCACAUCCUUGGGAAGGUUUUAAGGGGGUUGGGUGUGUAAGGCCUGAGCUGACCCUGAAUUGUCCUCACUCCUCCCCACAAACACUGGGCUUCUUGAUGAGGUGACAAUUCCAGGCCUUCAGGGAACAGGCUACUAACAAUCAUCAGCAAUAGGCCAGUGUAGGGCAACAGGGGGUGGUGAGAACUGUGGCAGGCUGGAGAGCACAGCCAGACCUGAAGACUUUCAGGCUCCAGUAGAAACUAAUGCAUGUGGCAUGCACUGAACACAUCCAGCGGCACUGGCCCAGUGGCCCUUGGUUUUUGUCUUUGGGCUCUAGACUGAACAAGCAGAGGAGCAGAGAGCCACUGGGAUUUCCGUGUCCCGUAUGUUACCCGGAAGCAGAAAAGGGGGACCAGAGAAAGGCACACACCAGUAGAGGAGGAGAGGCGAGAGCUGAAUCAUGGAGGAUUCCAGUUCCAACUUUCUCUGGAACCAACCAGCUGAGUCAUCAGAGGUCACAAGAGCAGAUGCCUCUAGGGAGUGAGGAGAGGAGGGAUCUGCCGCAAACUGAAAGGUAAGUGCCUCAUUUAACGGCUGCUAAGCAGGAGUGUGGGUCUAGCAUGGCCACAUCUUCCAAUUUCUCAAGAAAACUUACCAAUCUAAAUUUCCAUGGGACGUCUCACCAUGCCUGGGGGGCCUGGAUCCAGCCUCAGGCACCCUUAGUGACACAGGAAGAUGGCUGUUCGGCUGCAGUGCCCUCACACCCAGGCCCCAGAAUUGAAAGAACCUAGAACGUUGAGAUCACAGUUAGAGCCUGCUGUAUAAGUCAUGUUUCCCCCUAUGACUGGGACCUCCUGGCCAGCAGGGAGAGGCCUGAGUUGUCUCUGGGUCCUUGGCCCCUGGCCAGGGCAAAGGCCAAAGCCCUAGUCACACAGGCCUGGGGCAGGGCGAAUGAGAAGAUCAAAGGGGCAGGUGUUCACUCUCUGGGGAAGUGAGGCAGAAAUUGGGCGUCCCAGAGCAGAGAUGUCCAACAGCCUGAAAGGUGGCUCCCAGGCGGGCCCCUGGGGAGGGGCUGCUGAGCAUAGACAGCAUGGGAGGAUCAGGGCCUUGCUGGGGAGGAGAGAUAGGGGACAGGUUCCGGUUGGCAAUGGCCUCUAACAGCAAACUGGCCCCAGGAUGAACCGAGGUGCCCUUGGAUGCUGGAGUGGAAAUGGUAGGCAGAUCUUGGAGAGGCCAUUUCAGG